UUAACUCAAAAUUAGUUUAUUUCAAAUCAUCCUUUGAAAGGAACUCUAACAACAUUUUACUAUUAACUUUUAAAAUGGACAAAUUCCAAUCCACAUAUUUUCCACAGCAGGAAAUGUUUAAUGCGUAAAUGUAUGAAAGGCUUGAAACACAUUUUAAAAGGCCAAAGUCCCCUUUUUAAAACCAACUGUGUGGAUGAAUAGAAUCUGACAGUAGCCAGCAACACAAGCCAGUCUGUUGUCAUUAUGUAACCUGGAGUGAAUCUAGCCAAGCCUCACAGGGUCUUACAGUAGGCAGCCUGGGUCUGUUCCGGACUGGGCCACAACAGAACAGCAGGAACCCUCCCUAGCUCUGGACCCUGUUAGACGUAUCCACAAAGCGUCUUAGUGUAGUGUUUUAGAUUCAAAUGAUUCAGAUUGUUAGGGACAAGGAGGACCUGAUCCUAGACCAGUACUACUCUUAAAGACGCUUUGUGGAGAGACUACCCUCCUCAGAACCAACAGUAGAACAGAGGUUAUCCUCAGAACCAACAGUAGAACAGAGGUAAUCCUCCUCAGAACCAACAGUAGAACAGAGAGGCUAUCCUCCUCAGAACCAACAGUAGAGCAGAGAGAUAAUCCUCCUCAGAACCAACAGUAGAACAGAGAGGUUAUCCUCCUCAGAACCAACAGUAGAACAGAGAGGUUAUCCUCCUCAGAACCAACAGUAGAACAGAGAGGUUAUCCUCCUCAGAACCAACAGUAGAACAGAGAGGUUAUCCUCCUCAGAACCAACAGUAGAACAGGGAGGUUAUCCUCCUCAAAACCAACAGUAGAACAGAGAUGUUAUCCUCCUCAAAACCAACAGUAGAACAGAGAUGUUAUCCUCAGAACCAACAGUAGAACAGAGAGGUUAUCCUCCUCAGAACCAACAGUAGAACAGAGAGGUUAUCCUCCUCAGAACCAACAGUAGAGCAGAGAGAGAGGUUAUCCUCCUCAGAACCAACAGUAGAACAGAGAGAG
ensembl:lncRNA